rnacentral:misc_RNA from 1 species
GUUUAUACAAGAAGUCAGUUGACCAGGACAGAUACCAUAAACGUUGGCCAAGACAUGUACAUUAGAUACACAAUAUCCAACUACAUGUAAACUUCCAUACCUAUAUACUUAGUGGACUGACACAAGGGACAAAGACUAAGCUUACUCUCACACUCUUUACACAGGCAGAGAUGCUUACAUGGUAACAAUAGCAUGCAAACUUCAUUGGUUCUACAGACCCUACACGUCAUCAACUCCUUCAUUUCCUUGCUAUCCCGGUAAAGCAGGUGGAGAUCUGUAGCCCGUCCAUUACAGCAUGAUGCUGUGUCAUCUACCUCACUGUCACCACAACCUUCUUUACUAUCUCUGCUCUGUGCAUAAACAUGUUGUAGAUUUACCUUAAGUGUGUUAAUCAAGUUCUCAUUGUAUUUGGCACGCUGUUGCCAAGCAUUGGCUUCCAAAGCCAAUUGUUCCAUCCGCAACUCAAGUUCCAUGUUUUUCUUGUUGAUAUCAUCAACCUCUGUGUCUCUUUCUCGAAGUUUCUGAAGGACCUUCUCUUCAACAUAGGUGAUAGCCUGAAUCUGAUUAGCUUGAACCUUCUCCAAUACAGCUUGCCUUAAGCGAUCACCCUGAACUUUGAUGUAUCUAUCAAUCUCAGCAUCUUGCCUCUGCAAUUCUCGCUCAAUAUCAUCACCCACAAGCCCUAGAAACGCUGAGUCACACGACGAAGCCAAACGUCCAUUAUCCAAAGACAACCCCAAGCCAGUGGACACCGAUCGCCGCUGCAACAGAUCAACAGAAGAUAUUUGAGAGUUGUUAUUCUCCAUAAAAUCUUGCUCUUUAGGCCUCUUCUUCUUAGGCUCCAACCCAUAAUUCCACUGCAAAUCCAACCCUCCAUCAUCAGCUGUACCAGGAGCCAACCCCACAACUUGAAAGGGAGGUAUAUAAGGAGGGUGUUGAGACUGUUCAGGAAGAUUAGAGCCAUUGAAAUAAACAACUGGGUUUGUUAUCUGACCAUCCAUAUUGUUGUACAAAUCUCUGUAAGAUUUGGACUGUUGCUGUUGUUGAUGUGGUUGUUGUUGAAUGUGUAGUUGGAGAUGGUGAUGAGGAAGCGCCAUAGCUAGGUUUUUAGAGAGAGAAAG